GGCAAGUCAGACGGUGCUUAGAAAAACGGUGUCCGGUUGUAGAAAGAUGAUUGCCCCCAAAACUGAGUAAAUAAAGGAACUACGCAAAGUGCAUAAAGAUAACAAAC